GGGUUGUGAGGUUAAGCGACUAAGCGUACACGGUGGAUGCCCUGGCAGUCAGAGGCGAUGAAGGACGUGCUAAUCUGCGAUAAGCGUCGGUAAGGUGAUAUGAACCGUUAUAACCGGCGAUUUCCGAAUGGGGAAACCCAGUGUGAUUCGUCACACUAUCAUUAACUGAAUCCAUAGGUUAAUGAGGCGAACCGGGGGAACUGAAACAUCUAAGUACCCCGAGGAAAAGAAAUCAACCGAGAUUCCCCCAGUAGCGGCGAGCGAACGGGGAGCAGCCCAGAGCCUGAAUCAGUGUGUGUGUUAGUGGAAGCGUCUGGAAAGGCGCGCGAUACAGGGUGACAGCCCCGUACACAAAAAUGCACAUGCUGUGAGCUCGAUGAGUAGGGCGGGACACGUGGUAUCCUGUCUGAAUAUGGGGGGACCAUCCUCCAAGGCUAAAUACUCCUGACUGACCGAUAGUAAACCAGUACCGUGAGGGAAAGGCGAAAAGAACCCCGGCGAGGGGAGUGAAAAAGAACCUGAAACCGUGUACGUACAAGCAGUGGGAGCACGCUUAGGCGUGUGACUGCGUACCUUUUGUAUAAUGGGUCAGCGACUUAUAUUCUGUAGCAAGGUUAACCGAAUAGGGGAGCCGAAGGGAAACCGAGUCUUAACUGGGCGUUAAGUUGCAGGGUAUAGACCCGAAACCCGGUGAUCUAGCCAUGGGCAGGUUGAAGGUUGGGUAACACUAACUGGAGGACCGAACCGACUAAUGUUGAAAAAUUAGCGGAUGACUUGUGGCUGGGGGUGAAAGGCCAAUCAAACCGGGAGAUAGCUGGUUCUCCCCGAAAGCUAUUUAGGUAGCGCCUCGUGAAUUCAUCUCCGGGGGUAGAGCACUGUUUCGGCAAGGGGGUCAUCCCGACUUACCAACCCGAUGCAAACUGCGAAUACCGGAGAAUGUUAUCACGGGAGACACACGGCGGGUGCUAACGUCCGUCGUGAAGAGGGAAACAACCCAGACCGCCAGCUAAGGUCCCAAAGUCAUGGUUAAGUGGGAAACGAUGUGGGAAGGCCCAGACAGCCAGGAUGUUGGCUUAGAAGCAGCCAUCAUUUAAAGAAAGCGUAAUAGCUCACUGGUCGAGUCGGCCUGCGCGGAAGAUGUAACGGGGCUAAACCAUGCACCGAAGCUGCGGCAGCGACGCUGAUGCGUUGUUGGGUAGGGGAGCGUUCUGUAAGCCUGCGAAGGUGUGCUGUGAGGCAUGCUGGAGGUAUCAGAAGUGCGAAUGCUGACAUAAGUAACGAUAAAGCGGGUGAAAAGCCCGCUCGCCGGAAGACCAAGGGUUCCUGUCCAACGUUAAUCGGGGCAGGGUGAGUCGACCCCUAAGGCGAGGCCGAAAGGCGUAGUCGAUGGGAAACAGGUUAAUAUUCCUGUACUUGGUGUUACUGCGAAGGGGGGACGGAGAAGGCUAUGUUGGCCGGGCGACGGUUGUCCCGGUUUAAGCGUGUAGGCUGGUUUUCCAGGCAAAUCCGGAAAAUCAAGGCUGAGGCGUGAUGACGAGGCACUACGGUGCUGAAGCAACAAAUGCCCUGCUUCCAGGAAAAGCCUCUAAGCAUCAGGUAACAUCAAAUCGUACCCCAAACCGACACAGGUGGUCAGGUAGAGAAUACCAAGGCGCUUGAGAGAACUCGGGUGAAGGAACUAGGCAAAAUGGUGCCGUAACUUCGGGAGAAGGCACGCUGAUAUGUAGGUGAAGUCCUUCGCGGAUGGAGCUGAAAUCAGUCGAAGAUACCAGCUGGCUGCAACUGUUUAUUAAAAACACAGCACUGUGCAAACACGAAAGUGGACGUAUACGGUGUGACGCCUGCCCGGUGCCGGAAGGUUAAUUGAUGGGGUCAGCGCAAGCGAAGCUCUUGAUCGAAGCCCCGGUAAACGGCGGCCGUAACUAUAACGGUCCUAAGGUAGCGAAAUUCCUUGUCGGGUAAGUUCCGACCUGCACGAAUGGCGUAAUGAUGGCCAGGCUGUCUCCACCCGAGACUCAGUGAAAUUGAACUCGCUGUGAAGAUGCAGUGUACCCGCGGCAAGACGGAAAGACCCCGUGAACCUUUACUAUAGCUUGACACUGAACAUUGAGCCUUGAUGUGUAGGAUAGGUGGGAGGCUUUGAAGUGUGGACGCCAGUCUGCAUGGAGCCGACCUUGAAAUACCACCCUUUAAUGUUUGAUGUUCUAACGUUGACCCGUAAUCCGGGUUGCGGACAGUGUCUGGUGGGUAGUUUGACUGGGGCGGUCUCCUCCUAAAGAGUAACGGAGGAGCACGAAGGUUGGCUAAUCCUGGUCGGACAUCAGGAGGUUAGUGCAAUGGCAUAAGCCAGCUUGACUGCGAGCGUGACGGCGCGAGCAGGUGCGAAAGCAGGUCAUAGUGAUCCGGUGGUUCUGAAUGGAAGGGCCAUCGCUCAACGGAUAAAAGGUACUCCGGGGAUAACAGGCUGAUACCGCCCAAGAGUUCAUAUCGACGGCGGUGUUUGGCACCUCGAUGUCGGCUCAUCACAUCCUGGGGCUGAAGUAGGUCCCAAGGGUAUGGCUGUUCGCCAUUUAAAGUGGUACGCGAGCUGGGUUUAGAACGUCGUGAGACAGUUCGGUCCCUAUCUGCCGUGGGCGCUGGAGAACUGAGGGGGGCUGCUCCUAGUACGAGAGGACCGGAGUGGACGCAUCACUGGUGUUCGGGUUGUCAUGCCAAUGGCACUGCCCGGUAGCUAAAUGCGGAAGAGAUAAGUGCUGAAAGCAUCUAAGCACGAAACUUGCCCCGAGAUGAGUUCUCCCUGACUCCUUGAGAGUCCUGAAGGAACGUUGAAGACGACGACGUUGAUAGGCCGGGUGUGUAAGCGCAGCGAUGCGUUGAGCUAACCGGUACUAAUGAACCGUGAGGCUUAACCUUACAACGCCGAAGGUGUUU
rnacentral:rRNA from 1 species